AGCGUUCUCUGCUUUCAAUUAAGUUCUCUGCCGGUCAAGUUCAUAGGCACUUGGCAACCUCAUCUACACUUUAAAUUGAUAAAAUUGCUAGUGUUAUUAUUGUUGGUGGCACCCUAGAACAUUUUUUUUACUGAAAAAUGCAUUAAACAUAACAAAUUGUCUAGAGAAAGUCUGGGAAAAAACCCGCCCCAUUUAAAAUUAAAAUUUUUUGUUUUUAAAUAUUUAUGGUGUCAAAAGAAAAUAUCAUUCUCUCUGUACGUUCAAGUCUUCUCAUUUUAAAAUAUUUUAAAGAAUGGUGGCUUUAUUAGUUGUGCUUUGUUGCCAUAAUUAAAAUCCAAAUUUUUUAGUGUUUUAAGUCGGAAUUAUACUUGAAGAGGUUCUAAUUUAGAUUUUACAAGUUAGUGUACCCGACUCAUCAAAAGAUACCCUAUUUAUUUAGAAUCCAGCAUAUGCAAAAUUAAAUAUAUGUAUGUUUGUAUAGUUGUGACUUCUGAUCUUAUAUAAUUGGCGCAUGAUGACCAUGGGCGUCUCAGGGAUGCUCUGUGCCCACGACCCUAACUUUUUUGAAGUGGAUUCCUGCCAUUAUAACUCUGCCUCCCCAUUAUUUUGAUACGGGAAUACGGUUUAUGGAAUAGCUGCUUUUGCUAACCCCAACUAUGGCGGUGCCUACAUAUAUUGGGUUAUAUUGGACUACUGCACCAUGAAAGAGUGACACUGAAAAAAAUAUUGAAAAAUCAAAAGAAUAAUACACUCUUGCGAAAUAAUUUUCGACACCUUUUCGGUACUCGAAACGCCGAUGAAAAAAGGGCGCUAUUCCUCGGAUGUAACUUCGUGGAGCUAUGGCAUCAGGAAACUGGCGGAGUGACGAGAUUGGGAAACCCCACCAUUACAUAGGGAAGCACAUAGAAAAAAUUCGUCAAAUUAAAAAACGAGUAAAUUGCCAGACCUAUGGAAACCGGAAGCGGGCGGAGUGGGGAGAUUUGGAAACCAAAAUGAUUUGGUAUACCUGUGGCCACAUUUCGCAAGCCACAAGCGACAAUCUUCUUAGCGCAACUGUAUUGAAUCAGGACAUUAUCCAUGUCAAAAUAAGCGAAUUUCAUAUUUCAUUAUGGUAUAUACCGAAUCCCUGACUGUCAAUCCUAAGAAGUCAUCAUACUAGACGAAGCCAUCGAAGCAAUGAGAUUGAAUGAUAUUUAUUUAACAUUCCGUCCGAUGUUAAAGGCUUGUGGUCCCCCUAAUAAAAUGCAUAUCAUCAAAAAGUUAUAUAUUUAUUAAAAUUAAGUCGAUUUCAAUUGUUAUUGAAUAGUAAAAAGGAUGAAUUGUUUGAUGUUUCUACAUGAAAUGUGUCUGAAUAUUCUACUCGGGGUUAUAUAAAACGGCGUAUAAGUAUUGUGAGAACUACUGACAAGAUUAAAAUCCAAAAAGUCAAGUGAAACUCGGCGGCUCCAUCGGCUUUAAAAGUAUUAUUGUUCAUACCUUUAUAGCUUUCAUAAAGAUGCUCACUUAAACGUUGUUGGCCAAAGUUAUAGAAAAGAAUUGUCCUAUGUUGCACCACCUUGGUUUUCGUAAGGUUGAAUGAAUUUUGAGGUCUACCCUGCAAGCACACGGAGCUCAGAUCAUCGAUCAAAUGCAGGUGGUAUGGUAGGCAUGCGAUUACGCUGGCAUAUGCUUUAACUGGGUCGGGAAGAUAUCCGUUUUGGGUCCCGCAUAAAAUUUGAUCCAUGCUUUUAAAGAAUACAUGUGUGCAUUUUUCAAGGCCCAUGACGUUAAACACAGCCAUUAUAUCAGCAGCGUCUUUCCGUCUGAACACCGAAAAUGGUUCCAAAUGUUUCACAAGUCUGUUAUUAAAGCGAGAACGGAUCUUUUUUGGAUAUAGGUCGGAGCAAAGCCUUAUCCAGUGGUCGGCUCUAAAUGUAUGGCAGCUCGGCACGUUCUUGUCAGAGUUAAAAUAGACUAGUUGUGGAUCUCCCAUGAUUGUCACGAAAAUUUUGCAAAUUUUUUUGUUGUUACAACUCCAAAUUUUGAAUCUGACUAAAAACUCAGUGCUUCAACUCGUUAAAAUUG